rnacentral:lncRNA from 1 species
AUCAUCCCCUCCUGUCCAGCCCAUGGGAGAAGCUGGCUGCUUGGAGUUCAGAAGUUCUGUCUCUAUCAUCUGCCUGAAACAUUAGCUCCUAUUGCACUUACUACAGGCCAGGUUCAGCACUACACGAUGCAGCAUGCAGGGGGCUUCUCAGCCUGUGCAGAGUGUGUCCUGCUCUGGAAUUCAGCCAUGCUCUGGCAUAGCUGAUGAGCUGGUGACACAGGGCCACC